UGAGGAAUAUUGGUCAAUGGGCGAGAGCCUGAACCAGCCAAGUAGCGUGAAGGAUGAAGGUCCUACGGAUUGUAAACUUCUUUUAUACGGGAAUAAAGCUUCCUACGUGUAGGAUUUUGUAUGUACCGUAUGAAUAAGCAUCGGCUAACUCCGUGCCAGCAGCCGCGGUAAUACGGAGGAUGCGAGCGUUAUCCGGAUUUAUUGGGUUUAAAGGGAGCGCAGACGGGAGAUUAAGUCAGUUGUGAAAGUUUGCGGCUCAACCGUAAAAUUGCAGUUGAUACUGGUUUCCUUGAGUGCAGUUGAGGCAGGCGGAAUUCGUGGUGUAGCGGUGAAAUGCUUAGAUAUCACGAAGAACCCCGAUUGCGAAGGCAGCUUGCUAAACUGUAACUGACGUUCAUGCUCGAAAGUGUGGGUAUCAAACAGGAUUAGAUACCCUGGUAGUCCACACGGUAAACGAUGGAUACUCGCUGUUGGCGAUAUACUGUCAGCGGCCAAGCGAAAGCAUUAAGUAUCCCACCUGGGGAGUACGCCGGCAACGGUGAAACUCAAAGGAAUUGACGGGGGCCCGCACAAGCGGAGGAACAUGUGGUUUAAUUCGAUGAUACGCGAGGAACCUUACCCGGGCUUAAAUUGCAGACGAAUUACGAGGAAACUUGUAAGCCGCAAGGCGUCUGUGAAGGUGCUGCAUGGUUGUCGUCAGCUCGUGCCGUGAGGUGUCGGCUUAAGUGCCAUAACGAGCGCAACCCUCGUGGUCAGUUACUAACAGGUUAAGCUGAGGACUCUGGCCAGACUGCCAUCGUAAGAUGUGAGGAAGGUGGGGAUGACGUCAAAUCAGCACGGCCCUUACGUCCGGGGCUACACACGUGUUACAAUGGGAGGUACAGAAGGCAGCUACCCGGCGACGGGAUGCCAAUCCCCAAAACCUCUCUCAGUUCGGACUGGAGUCUGCAACCCGACUCCAUGAAGCUGGAUUCGCUAGUAAUCGCGCAUCAGCCACGGCGCGGUGAAUACGUUCCC
rnacentral:rRNA from 1 species